UCCUACGGGGCGCAGCAGUGAGGAAUAUUGGUCAAUGGCCGGAAGGCUGAACCAGCCAAGCCGCGUGAAGGACGAAGGUGCCAAGCAUUGUAAACUUCUUUUGUCAAGGGACAAAAUCAGGCUCGAGAGCCUGACCGAGGGUACUUGAAGAAAAAGCAUCGGCUAACUCCGUGCCAGCAGCCGCGGUAAUACGGAGGAUGCGAGCGUUAUCCGGAUUUAUUGGGUUUAAAGGGUGCGUAGGCGGUUUUUUAAGUUAGUGGUUAAACGUCGGGGCUUCACCUUGAUUUGCCAUUAAUACUGUAAGA
rnacentral:rRNA from 1 species